rnacentral:rRNA from 1 species
UACGUAGGGUGCGAGCGUUGUCCGGAAUUAUUGGGCGUAAAGGGCUCGUAGGCGGUUUGUCGCGUCGGGAGUGAAAACUCAGGGCUUAACCCUGAGCCUGCUUCCGAUACGGGCAGACUAGAGGUAUGCAGGGGAGACUGGAAUUCCUGGUGUAGCGGUGAAAUGCGCAGAUAUCAGGAGGAACACCGGUGGCGAAGGCGGGUCUCUGGGCAACUACUGACGCUGAGGAGCGAAAGCGUGGGGAGCGAACAGG